rnacentral:snRNA from 1 species
UCCACAGAGAAGAUUAGCAUGGCCCCUGCACAAGGACGACACACAAAUUAGUGAAGCGUUCCAUAUUUUA